CACUCCUACGGGAGGCAGCAGUGGGGAAUAUUGGACAAUGGGCGCAAGCCUGAUCCAGCCAUGCCGCGUGAGUGAUGAAGGCCCUAGGGUUGUAAAGCUCUUUCACCGGUGAAGAUAAUGACGGUAACCGGAGAAGAAGCCCCGGCUAACUUCGUGCCAGCAGCCGCGGUAAUACGAAGGGGGCUAGCGUUGUUCGGAUUUACUGGGCGUAAAGCGCACGUAGGCGGACUAUUAAGUCAGGGGUGAAAUCCCGGGGCUCAACCCCGGAACUGCCUUUGAUACUGGUAGUCUUGAGUUCGAGAGAGGUGAGUGGAAUUCCGAGUGUAGAGGUGAAAUUCGUAGAUAUUCGGAGGAACACCAGUGGCGAAGGCGGCUCACUGGCUCGAUACUGACGCUGAGGUGCGAAAGCGUGGGGAGCAAACAGGAUUAGAAACCCCUGUAGUCCC
rnacentral:rRNA from 1 species